rfam:Xiphophorus maculatus strain JP 163 A Contig231.35, whole genome shotgun sequence.
GUGGGUUACGGGGAUAUGCACCCCGUGACGAUCGGGGGCAAGAUUGUGGGGUCCCUGUGCGCGAUCGCGGGUGUGUUGACCAUAGCGUUGCCCGUGCCCGUCAUCGUUUCCAAC